rnacentral:rRNA from 1 species
UACGGAGGGGGCUAGCGUUGUUCGGAAUUACUGGGCGUAAAGCGCGCGUAGGCGGACCUGCAAGUCGGGGGUGAAAGCCCGAGGCUCAACCUCGGAACUGCCUUCGAUACUGCGGGUCUCGAGUCCGGGAGAGGUGAGUGGAAUUCCUAGUGUAGAGGUGAAAUUCGUAGAUAUUAGGAAGAACACCAGUGGCGAAGGCGGCUCACUGGCCCCGGUACUGACGCUGAGGCGCGAAAGCGUGGGGAGCAAACUAGGGAU